UACAGAGGGUGCAAGCGUUAAUCGGAAUUACUGGGCGUAAAGCGCGCGUAGACGACUGUCUAAAUCGGGUGUGAAAGCCCCGAGCUCAACCUGGGAACUGCAUUCGAUACUGGACGGCUAGAGUAUGAGAGAGGGAGGUAGAAUUCCACGUGUAGCGGUGAAAUGCGUAGAUAUGUGGAGGAAUACCGGUGGCGAAGGCGGCCUCCUGGUUCAAUACUGACACUCAGGUGCGACAGCGUGGGGAGCAAACAGG
rnacentral:rRNA from 1 species